GGCCGCGAAUUCGCCCUUAGGGUUUGAUCAUGGCUCAGAGUGAACGCUGGCGGUAGGCCUAACACAUGCAAGUCGAACGGCAGCACAGGAGAGCUUGCUCUCUGGGUGGCGAGUGGCGGACGGGUGAGGAAUACAUCGGAAUCUACUCUGUCGUGGGGGAUAACGUAGGGAAACUUACGCUAAUACCGCAUACGACCUACGGGUGAAAGCAGGGGACCUUCGGGCCUUGCGCGAUUGAAUGAGCCGAUGUCGGAUUAGCUAGUUGGCGGGGUAAAGGCCCACCAAGGCGACGAUCCGUAGCUGGUCUGAGAGGAUGAUCAGCCACACUGGAACUGAGACACGGUCCAGACUCCUACGGGAGGCAGCAGUGGGGAAUAUUGGACAAUGGGCGCAAGCCUGAUCCAGCCAUACCGCGUGGGUGAAGAAGGCCUUCGGGUUGUAAAGCCCUUUUGUUGGGAAAGAAAUCCAGCUGGCUAAUACCCGGUUGGGAUGACGGUACCCAAAGAAUAAGCACCGGCUAACUUCGUGCCAGCAGCCGCGGUAAUACGAAGGGUGCAAGCGUUACUCGGAAUUACUGGGCGUAAAGCGUGCGUAGGUGGUCGUUUAAGUCCGUUGUGAAAGCCCUGGGCUCAACCUGG
rnacentral:rRNA from 1 species